CCUACGGGAGGCAGCAGUGAGGAAUAUUGGUCAAUGGGCGGAAGCCUGAACCAGCCAAGUCGCGUGAGGGAAUAAGGCCCUACGGGUCGUAAACCUCUUUUGCCGGGGAGCAAGGGCCGGGACGAGUCCCGGUCCGGAGAGUACCCGGAGAAAAAGCAUCGACUAACUCCGGGCCAGCAGCCGCGGUAAUACGGAGGAUGCGAGCGUUAUCCGGAGUUAUGGGGUUUAAGGGGUGCGUAGGCGGGCUUUUAAGUCGGCGGUAAAAAUUCGGGGCUCAACCCCGUCCGGCCGUUGAAACUGGGGGCCUUGAGUGGGCGAGAGGAAGGCGGAAUGCGUGGGGUAGCGGUGAAAUGCAUAGAUAUCACGCAGAACCCCGAUUGCGAAGGCAGCCUUCCGGCGCCCUACUGACGCUGAGGCACGAAAGUGCGGGGAUCGAACAGGAUUAGAUACCCGAGUAGUC
rnacentral:rRNA from 1 species